CCUACGGGCUGCACCAGUGGGGAAUAUUGGACAAUGGGCGAAAGCCUGGUCCAGCAAUGCCGCGUGAGUGAUGAAGGCCUUAGGGUUGUAAAGCUCUCUUACCCGGGAUGAUAAUGACAGUACCGGGAGAAUAAGCCCCGGCUAACUCCGUGCCAGCAGCCGCGGUAAUACGGAGGGGGCUAGCGUUGUUCGGAAUUACUGGGCGUAAAGCGCACGUAGGCGGCUUUGUAAGUUAGAGGUGAAAGCCCGGAGCUCAACUUCGGAAUUGCCUUUAAGACUGCAUCGCUUGAAUCAUGGAGAGGUCAGUGGAAUUCCGAGUGUAGAGGUGAAAUUCGUAGAUAUUCGGAAGAACACCAGUGGCGAAGGCGACUGACUGGACAUGUAUUGACGCUGAGGUGCGAAAGCGUGGGGAGCAAACAGGAUUAGAUACCCCAGUAGUC
rnacentral:rRNA from 1 species